AUUUGUUCCAGGUACUGGGAAGAUAAGUCAUUGAAAAUGGACAGCCUGGGCAGCAACGUCAUUCACUUUCUCGUACCAGAGCACCCAUUUUGGACACAGAAUGAAAGAAGCAAAUUCAGCCUUUAUGACGCUGAGACCAUUAGCAGUGUUGCUAUUUGAGGGAGGAAGGACAAUAGCCAUUCCAGCUUUCUCUUGGAGUGACCAUUCCCAAAAACAACAGGACAGAAGUGAUUCCAGACCACUUUUUCUGCUGACGUCAGUUACUGUCUGCUAGGAUGAUUGAUGUUUCUUUGCUUUGAACUAAGCUGAGAUUUCUGGGUCAUUUAUCAUCUCCGAAGAGCAUGAAGGUAAGAACUUUCAACCUGGAUGAGGUCUUGAAGUGAUGAUCUUUAAGUGGAGGACCAAUGUCAAGAUGCCAUUCCUCAGUUCUUUUAUUGCAACUGGAACCUAAAAUAUUA